AAGACUAUACUUUCAGGGACCAUCUCUAGAGUUUCUGAUUUGAGGCAUGUGUUUCUAGUGUGUUUGGUCUUGCUGACCAUGAUGAUGAGUCUUGAUAUUCCUUUCUGAGCAUUAAGCUGACAGAGAGUAAUGAUUCACUUCAUAUGCUCUGUUGUUGAUAAUUGUUCUUUGCUUCUUUACGGAGUGUUGAGGAAGGGAGUAUGAUCACAGUGGU